GCUAGGGUCAGUCAAAAAUUGGAGGUCAUCCGAAUUUUGAAAAAGUGUACAGAAAGUAAAGGAUACGAUGGUGAAAUUUAAAGUAGGGAACAAAAAUCAAAUCUCAUUUUGGAAUGAUACUUGGUUGCUAAAUCAGCCAAUCAAGGAAAGAUUAUCUAUCCAAUAUACUUUGUCGCCGUUUAAGCAGAUAACUAUGGCAGAAGCUUUUGAUAACCUCAUUGCUAAUGGGAA
rnacentral:lncRNA from 1 species